rnacentral:rRNA from 1 species
CCCUGUACACACGGAUAACAUAACCGAAAGGUAUGCUAAUACGAGAUAAUAUGCUUUUUAUCGCAUGGUAGAAGUAUCAAAAGCUCCGGCGGUACAGGAUGGACCCGCGUCUGAUUAGCUAGUUGGUAAGGUAGCGGCUUACCAAGGCGACGAUCAGUAGCCGACCUGAGAGGGUGAUCGGCCACAUUGGAACUGAGACACGGUCCAAACUCCUACGGGGGGCAGCAGUGGGGAAUAUUGCACAAUGGGCGAAAGCCUGAUGCAGCAACGCCGCGUGAGCGAUGAAGGCCUUCGGGUCGUAAAGCUCUGUCCUCAAGGAAGAUAAUGGCGGUACUUGAGGAGGAAGCCCCGGCUAACUACGUG